CCCCGGAGCAGGCUUCCCUGGGGGUGGUGGCGGCUGGUGGGCAGAGAGCACCAGGACCCACUGGCCCCAUGCCCCACCUCACCCUCCCAGUUGCUCCCCUCACCCCGUCUGCACCGCGGGCUGGGGGGUGGUGAUUCAGAGCUGCGGGUUCCAGCCUGGCGCUGCCCGCCAUAGGGAACUGUGCCCCUACCUGGGCUUUUUCCACCAGGAGCUGUGUGGCCUGGACAGGGUGGCCUCUUUUCUUUUCUGAGACAGGGUCUCAUUCUGUCACCCAGGCUGGAGUACAGUGGUGUGGUCAUAGCUUACUGCAGCCUUGACCUGCCAGGCUCAAGCAAUCCUACAUAGCCUCCUGAGUAUCUGGGACUACAGCCAGUUCUACCUGCUCCACUUGAUUGUGUGUUUGCAGUGAGUUCCUGAGUUAUCGGGAUGAAUGGUCAGAAAGCAGUGUGCCCACCAAUGGAUGUUUCCUGCCAUUGGGCCCCUUAGCAGUGACUUGUGUGCAAACCAGGGUGAUUUUUACAACUUUUAAACAAGUUUAUAGCAACUUUGUUGGCUUUCAAAGCUGUUUGCUUUGAAAAUAUUAAAUUGAUUUUCAGCAAGUGA